UACGUAGGAGGCGAGCGCUGUCCGGAGUUACUGGGCGUAAAGGGUGCGCAGGCGGCGGUUCGCGUGGAUAGAUGAAAUCUCCUGGCUUACCUGGGAGGAUGGUAUCCAGACGGGAUCGCUUGAGGGUCGGAGAGGGGCGUGGAAUUCCGGGUGGAGCGGUGAAAUGCGUAGAGAUCCGGAGGAACACCGACGGCGUAGGCAGCGCCCUGGACGACACCUGACGCUGAGGCACGAAAGCUGGGGGAGCGAACAGG
rnacentral:rRNA from 1 species